AGAGUUUGAUCAUGGCUCAGGACGAACGCUGGCGGCGUGCUUAACACAUGCAAGUCGAACGGAAAGCGCUCUUCGGAGUGACUCGAGUGGCGAACGGGUGAGUAACACGUGGGUGAUCUGCCCUGCACUUUGGGAUAAGCCUGGGAAACUGGGUCUAAUACCGGAUAGGACUACGCGAUGCAUGUCGUGUGGUGGAAAGCUUUUGCGGUGUGGGAUGAGCCCGCGGCCUAUCAGCUUGUUGGUGGGGUAAUGGCCUACCAAGGCGACGACGGGUAGCCGGCCUGAGAGGGUGACCGGCCACACUGGGACUGAGAUACGGCCCAGACUCCUACGGGAGGCAGCAGUGGGGAAUAUUGCACAAUGGGCGCAAGCCUGAUGCAGCGACGCCGCGUGAGGGAUGGCGGCCUUCGGGUUGUAAACCUCUUUCAGCACAGACGAAGCGCAAGUGACGGUAUGUGCAGAAGAAGGACCGGCCAACUACGUGCCAGCAGCCGCGGUAAUACGUAGGGUCCGAGCGUUGUCCGGAAUUACUGGGCGUAAAGAGCUCGUAGGUGGUUUGUCGCGUUGUUCGUGAAAACUCACAGCUUAACUGUGGGCGUGCGGGCGAUACGGGCAGACUUGAGUACUGCAGGGGAGACUGGAAUUCCUGGUGUAGCGGUGGAAUGCGCAGAUAUCAGGAGGAACACCGGUGGCGAAGGCGGGUCUCUGGGCAGUAACUGACGCUGAGGAGCGAAAGCGUGGGGAGCGAACAGGAUUAGAUACCCUGGUAGUCC
rnacentral:rRNA from 1 species